UACGUAGGGGGCAAGCGUUGUCCGGAUUUAUUGGGCGUAAAGAGCGUGUAGGCGGCUUGGUAGGUCUCGCGUCAAAACCUGAGGCUCAACCUCAGUUCGCGUGGGAAACCACCUAGCUAGAGUCCGGAAGAGGAGAACGGAAUUCCCAGUGUAGCGGUGAAAUGACGCAGAUAUCAGGAAGAACACCCGUGGCGAAAGCGGCUCUCUGGGACGGUACUGACGCUGAGACGCGAAAGCGUGGGGAGCGAACAGG
rnacentral:rRNA from 1 species